rnacentral:rRNA from 1 species
AUUGAACGCUGGCGGCAGGCCUAACACAUGCAAGUCGAACGGUAACAGAAAGCAGCUUGCUGCUUUGCUGACGAGUGGCGGACGGGUGAGUAAUGUCUGGGAAACUGCCUGAUGGAGGGGGAUAACUACUGGAAACGGUAGCUAAUACCGCAUAACGUCGCAAGACCAAAGAGGGGGACCUUCGGGCCUCUUGCCAUCGGAUGUGCCCAGAUGGGAUUAGCUAGUAGGUGGGGUAAAGGCUCACCUAGGCGACGAUCCCUAGCUGGUCUGAGAGGAUGACCAGCUACACUGGAACUGAGACACGGUACAGACUCCUACGGGAGGCAGCAGUGGGGAAUAUUGCACAAUGGGCGCAAGCCUGAUGCAGCCAUGCCGCGUGUAUGAAGAAGGCCUUCGGGUUGUAAAGUACUUUCAGCGGGGAGGAAGGGAGUAAAGUUAAUACCUUUGCUCAUUGACGUUACCCGCAGAAGAAGCACCGGCUAACUCCGUG